AUUGAACGCUAGCGGGAUGCUUUACACAUGCAAGUCGAACGAGUGGCGGACGGGUGAGUAAUAUAUCGGAACGUGCCCAGUAGCGGGGGAUAAUAACCCGAAAGGGUGGCUAAUCCCCCAUCUUUUUGGAGCGGCCGUUUUGGGGUUUGUUAGUGGGUGGGGUAAGGGCUCACAAAGGCAACGAUCCGUAGCUGGUUUGGGAGGUCGACCAGGCACACUGGGACGGAGACACGGCCCAGACUCCUACGGGAGGCAGCAGUGGGGAAUUUUGGACAAUGGGGGAAACCCUGAUCCAGCCAUCCCGCGUGUAUGAGAAGGCCUUCGGGUUGUAGAGUACUUUUGGCAGAGAAGCGGUAUCUGCAGAAUAAGCACCGGCUAACUACGUGCCAGCCGCCGCGGUAAUAC
rnacentral:rRNA from 1 species